AUAAUAAUAAUAAUAAUAAUAAUAAUAUAAGAUGUAACAUAUUCAUCAAGCUGACCCAACAAAUCAGGAACAUGACUUAUUAUUAUUUUAUUUUAUUUUUUUUUUUUAUGCAUAUCUUUUUUUGUUUUUCCUUUUUCUUUUUUAAUAGGCCAUAUACUCAAUGCACAAAACAAAUUAUUAUGAUACAUUAAAUUAUACUUCAUUAAACAAAAUACGAUUUUACACAAAAAGAUCUUUUAAUUAUAAUUAUCCCAAAAACACUCAAAUGCGUUUUCAAAUUGAGUACGAAGUAGAAUACAAAUACUAUGAACAUGAGUGUCAUGUUCUGACUAAGAAAUUAAAAAAUGAUUACUACAAGGGAAAUCGUGAUUAUAGUAAGUUACUUUUUUUUUUUUUUUUUUUUUUUUUUAAAAUAUAUACAUUUUAGACAUAUAACACAUGCUCACAUGUACAUGUUAUACGUUAAUCUCUUAUUUUGUGCCUCUAUUUUUAAUUGAUGCGUUUUGCUAGUGUAUAUAUAUAUAUACAUAUACAUAUAUGUGCAAUUUUUUUUUUUUUUUUCUUAGAACAAAAAUUAAAUUAUGAAGAAAUUCCAGAAAGUUGCAUAAAACUGAAAAAUUUAGAGGUAAAAUUUUGCAUCUCAAAAUGUUGACCAGUUGUUAAUUUAUUUUAUUUUAUGAUAUUUAUAAAGUGCAGUAUAUUUGUUUAAAUUCUUAUGUGUUUUUGCAUAAUACUUAUAUAUAUAUAUAUAUCGAUAUACCUCCAUAUACAUCGAUAUAUAUAUCGAUAUGUGCAAUUUGUUUAAUAUACUUUCAUGUUUAUACAUAUUAAUAUAAAUACCUAUUUUUACACGUCUCAGGAUCAAUACAACGACUACAUUUUGAAAAUGAAAAGGAGAUGACAAAAAAAAAAAAAAAAAAAAAAAUCCAUUAAUUUGAUAAAUUAAUUUUUAAAAAUUAAAAUAAGCUGUUAAAAAAAAUAUACACAUAUAUAUCCAUAUAUAUAUAUGUAUGUACUAUUUUUUUUUUUUUUUUUUUUUUUGUUGUUGUUUUUUUGGAUUUUAAUGUUUGGGUAUUUUAUUUUGCCCAUAUUAUCAAUCAAAUAUUUGUUAAUAAGUUUUUAAAUGCACAAAAUUUCAUCUAAUUUAACUAUUAUAUGAAUACACGUUUAUGUUUUAGUUGUUACAAAAAUAUACACGUCUCUCAAGCACUUAUUAAUAUAUACAUAUAUAUAUAUAUACACAUGCACUUCAUUUUUCAUUCAAAACGUUUAUUUAUGUUUUUAUGUUUCCUUUUUCUUUUUUCGUUUAUUUAUUUGCAAUUAUAACAUCAAUUAUUUUUUAAAUUAGAAAUUAUAUAUGAGUAUGAUUAAAAAAUAGAAAUACAACACUACUACAUAUAUUUAUAUAUAUGUAUGUAUAUGUACAUAUGUAUAAAAAGUCUUUUUUAGGGUUAAAUAUUAGUUCCCUAUUUUUAGUAUUCAAAAUUUAUUCGCCCUCUAUGUGCUCCAUCUUGUUAUUUUAUUUUGCAACUACAUACAAACACAUAUAUAUAUAUAUAUAUAUAUAUGUAUAUUAUGUAGUUUUUUGCCAUUUGUUAUAUACUAAAUAGCAAGUAACACAUUUUUUAAAUUGUUAAUGUUGCAUAGUUUUUUUUUUUUUUUUUUUUUUUUUUACAUUUUAAACCCAUGGUUAUAUAUAUAUAUAUAUAUAUAUCCAUGUGUGAAUAUGUAUGUAUAUAUUGUAAACAAUCAUAUGUGAUCAAAUAAUAUUUGAUGCUAAUUUUUUUUUUCUUAUUUUUAAUAUUAAUAAUAUUAAAAUUAACAUAAUUCGUUAUCAUUAUUUUUUAAGUAGUAAUACUCUAAAUUUGAUUUUUAAAAAAAAAUUUAUUAAUUUGAAUUUAUAAGUAUCUGUUAAAAAUUAUACCUGACAUGCAUAUAUAUAUAUAUAUAUAUAUAUAUAUGGCAUAGCAUAGCAUGUAUACAUGUGUCUAUUUUAUUGUGGUGCACUAUCGGAGGUGUGAGAUGAAUACUCAUUAUUACUAUUAAUGUACAUUUUAUCUGUUUCAUAUAAAUCUUUUUUUUCUUUUUGUAUUAUAUCCUUUAUAUAAGUAUAGCCAAAUUCUUCAGUAUUACUAGAUGAUAAUAAAGCAGUAAAUCUGUUUUUGUUUUUUUUUUUC
ensembl:lncRNA